GUAUAGAAAAAGAAAAUAAAAAAAAAAUGUUCGAGAUGAUGAUAAAAGAGAAGAAGAGUUGUCCUUGCAAUUGAAAGAAAGCAAAUAAUGCAGCGUAUGUUAAGCAGUCAUGGGCUUCCUCUGUGUCUCUCAGGGAUAAUCCAUCCUCUUCAUCUCUCUCAUGAGAUCGCAGAUCACGACCGUAGAAGAAAGGCCAUGAGGAAGCAAAGAGAGGGGAUGCAUGCAAAUCAAGAAAUGGGUGCUCAGAUCAACUUUGUGGAGGCCAAAGGUGAGACCGAUUUGCAUGAUCCUCAUCUCGGUUUGAUAGCAAGAGCUGCUUAAUUAAUUAAUUAAUUAUCACUACCACUUUGUACGUUCUUCACUUUAUUUAAUUUCAUUAUUAUGCCCUUCUUUCUUCCGUAUGUGGAUCUUUUUUUCUUCUAGUAUAGUGCUUUCAUAUGCUUAAUUAGUACUUCUUCUGAUCUUGCAUAUAUGGACCGUCGUCCAUUCUCAUGUGGGCACUUCGAUUAUGCCUCAAUUUUUUUUCCAAAACAUAUGUUAUUAAAAUUUUGAGUA